rnacentral:rRNA from 1 species
UACGUAGGUGACAAGCGUUGUCCGGAUUUACUGGGCGUAAAGAGCGCGCAGGCGGUCGUUCAAGUCGAGUGUGAAAGCCCCCGGCUCAACUGGGGAGGGUCACUCGAUACUGAUCGACUCGAAGGCAGGAGAGGGAAGUGGAAUUCCCGGUGUAGUGGUGAAAUGCGUAGAUAUCGGGAGGAACACCAGUGGCGAAGGCGACUUACUGGUCCGGUUCUGACGCUGAGGCGCGAAAGCGUGGGGAGCAAACAGG